rnacentral:rRNA from 1 species
UACAGAGGCCUCGAGCGUUAGGCGGAAUCACUGGGCUUAAAGCGUGUGUAGGCGGAUUCCUAAGUACCUUGUGAAAUCCCAUGGCUCAACCAUGGAACUGCUUGGUAUACUGGGUCUCUUGAGCCAGCUAGGGGCUACCGGAACAAAUGGUGGAGCGGUGAAAUGCGUAGAUAUCAUUUGGAACGCCAAUGGUGAAAACAGGUAGCUGGGGCUGUGCUGACGCUGAGACACGAAAGCCAGGGGAGCGAACGGG